rnacentral:rRNA from 1 species
CCCAAAGGUUCCCUCAGAAUGGUUGGAAAUCAUUCGCAGAGUGUAAAGGCACAAGGGAGCUUGACUGCGAGACCUACAAGUCGAGCAGGGACGAAAGUCGGGCUUAGUGAUCCGGUGGUUCCGCAUGGAAGGGCCAUCGCUCAACGGAUAAAAGCUACCCCGGGGAUAACAGGCUUAUCUCCCCCAAGAGUCCACAUCGACGGGGAGGUUUGGCACCUCGAUGUCGGCUCAUCGCAUCCUGGGGCUGUAGUCGGUCCCAAGGGUUGGGCUGUUCGCCCAUUAAAGCGGUACGCGAGCUGGGUUCAGAACGUCGUGAGACAGUUCGGUCCCUAUCCGUCGUGGGCGUAGGAAAUUUGAGAGGAGCUGUCCUUAGUACGAGAGGACCGGGAUGGACGCACCGCUGGUGUACCAGUUGUCUUGCCAAAGGCACCGCUGGGUAGCUAUGUGCGGAAGGGAUAAGUGCUGAAAGCAUCUAAGCAUGAAGCCCCCCUCAAGAUGAGAUUUCCCAUAGC